UUUAAAAGUACGUUAAUUUCUUCUGCAAACCCAUAUUGUCAUGCCUACUCCCCCCUUUCGUAAUACGAAGCUCAAUGCCGUCAACGCGGGUAGCAUGUGUAACCUUCAGUAUUUUCAUUUCUAGCUAUUGUGUGUGUGCAACCGCCAUUUCUCUAAUGGAAGCGAAGCGAUUCGGAGGUAAACAUUCGGUUUUUAUUAUGAUUCAUUUUACCUAAAUAUGUUCCUUUUCAGCUUAAAAUAGUAGAAACCAUAGCAAAGGUUUCACGCAGCCGUAAGCGUUUAGAUAAACUAAACAUCAGAGGCCAAAAACGGCGGAUGUCGCCGUGCACAAUUGAUUAAUGAUUCGAUUAUUUAUGAUAAUUCGUCUUAUUCUAUUAUCCGCAGAAUGCGACCAACAGGAGCAAUGGUCCGCCUCUCGAUCGAUUUGUUGUUCCAGGAAACGAUGGAUAUCAGGUGGGUCAAUCGUAUCGUCAGCAGCGAGGAAACCAACAACAACCGUUUCACGCUGAGCAAUCAACAGCUAAAAAGACUACCAGCACCGAUUCGAACCACAUCGACUUGGAUGAGAAGCAGCAGCAACAGCGCAGAUUGUCGGUGUUCUUCCAGUCAUAUACUGUCUGCAGCAAAAACUCCACUAGCUGAAGAACGAUAUGCUACGGCGAAAGGUUCACAAUUUCAAACUCAUCAUCACGACAACAUUAUUUCUACAGCAGUACUUGGCGACCGCACCCAGCGAAAACCAUCACAAUCACCUAUAGCAGCCCACUAAUCCUUCCAUCCAAGGAUCGGAGGGAAAGCGAUAUGUGUCCUAUUUGCCACACAAUUUCCUCCACAAAUCACGACUUCACGUAGCUCAACAACAGAAAAUCCGCGUCUGAGGAUGAUGGAAGAGUCAGUUUACGUGGUAAAUUUGCUCCCAGGCAAUUCGUUGUUGGAUCGGUACAUGCUGCCUCCGCUCGAAUUUGGAGCGUCACAUCAAGCAGUAACAUCGUAUUGUCAGCGCGGAGGCAAUCAUUAGAAGCGCGGCUGGAGCAUUCGAUCUGCAAUCAAGCAAUCCGCCAAAGGAAGGAGGUAGACAAAGCAGAUUUGAUGGUCUGAUAUCACAAGAUGGAAACGACGAUCAGGUGCUGCUGACUUCCAGCUCGGCGUCCGGGAGUGACAACUCCGACACAGAUCCAAAUCCAUCGUCGACACAGCCGACACAGAAGAAAAAAAACGUCUAAAGCCUAGCGCCAAAUCGAGUCAAUUGCCCCUACUGGCAUGUUCCCCUCGGACAACAACAUCAGCAUACGAUCGGAAAACAACAGUCCACUGCAGAAGACUGCAAUCUCGUCGAACGUAUUGCCCGUGACAGAUUCCACCACGAAGAAGUAUUUUUCCGAUAUCGAACUCUAAGGGAGAGAUAUUGGAAAAUCAAAAAUAAUCACAUCCAAUGUGCAGCGGUUCUAAGCUAACAUGUGGCUGAGAGGAGAAUUUCUUAUCAAAUUUAAAGAACAAGUACUACCAAUUUUGAUCCACAAUGAUCAAUUUGCAUGUGGCUAAACUGAGAGAUUUUUUCACUAUGCAGCUUCCAUUGGGAUUUCCAGUAAAAAUAGAAAUAACGCUGUUUCAUGUGUUGAACGCGGUUAUCAUAUUUGGCAACGUAUUCGAAUAAGAGACACCCGUGACCAGUGUGAGGCACAUCAAAGAAAGCGAAGAGCGUACGACAUGCAUUAUCGAGGUUUACUGUUUCGAUGUCCCGUUCGAGUACGUACGACGUGGUGCCGAUUUCCGGCGUCAAGUCAUCUUCGAAGAUGAGAACGAAUUGAUGCAAUUUGCGAUCCAGCAAAAUUUCCGAGUGUCCGAAAAAGCACACUUUUGAGUACUGUGAUACCCAACUCGCUCGCUGAAAAGCUG